rnacentral:lncRNA from 1 species
UGAACAUAAAUAUUUGUUCGUAAAUUUACUUUGAGUAUCUCCUUCUUAAAAAGAAACGUUGAUUCGGAUGUACUGACACCUGAAUAUCUGCAUGCGCGCCGAAUGUUUACAAAGUCCGUUAGUAUUUUUGGUGUCUCUCGGUGAUACUGUUACACAUUAGAACAACUGAAUAAAAUCUCCUUUCAAUUAACUAUCGAUAUAUCUGGUGUUUUACGUAAGACUGAGUCCCAAUAUUAUUGCACAUUCGGUAGCAAAGAUGUUGACACCACAUGUCGUCUGAUGAUGACUUUUACGGAAUCGAAUAAGGUUUGGUCAUUGUAUUCCCUGAAAGGAAUGAGAGGAGAAAAGAAACUGGAAGACCUGGCUAUCUGCAGGCCAAUGCUGGCUGCAGGUCAAUAUUGAAAAGGUGUGACGGGUGCGUCUGCUGCAGGCAGGGAGGAUUUGACGGUCAGCCAGAGGAUUUGGAGAUAUACUGUAAUGUCUUUAAUGUGGACUUGCGUGUGAUUUAAGUUUUCACAAGGGUUUUAGUGUGUGUGAAAGUAUGUCAGUUUUCAAAAUUGAGCUAUGACAAUUUGCUCAAACUACAUAACUCAAAGAACUUUGAAGCGGUCUUGUUGACGUCAUGAGCUUUUGUUUAAUACCAGUACACAUGUAUUGGUGAUAU